UACGGGGGGGCGAGCGUUGUUCGGAAUUACUGGGCGUAAAGGGUUUGUAGGUGGUCUGCUAAGUCAGACGUGAAAUCCCUCAGCUUAACUGGGGAACUGCGUCUGAUACUGGCGGACUUGAGGACAGGAGAGGAACGCGGAAUUCCAGGUGUAGCGGUGAAAUGCGUAGAUAUCUGGAGGAACACCGGUGGCGAAGGCGGCGUUCUGGACUGUUUCUGACACUGAAAAACGAAAGCCAGGGGAGCAAAACGGG
rnacentral:rRNA from 1 species